rnacentral:rRNA from 1 species
UUUGGACAAUUUUGAAAAUU